rnacentral:rRNA from 1 species
GCCNUUCCGCGNGCNNGACGAAGGCCUUCGGGUUGUAAACUGCUUUUGCACGGAACGAAAGGGCCCUCUCUAAUAAAGGGGGGAUAUGACGGUCCCGUAAGAAUAAGCACCGGCUAACUACGUGCCAGCAGCCGCGGUAAUACGUAGGGUGCAAGCGUUAAUCGGAAUUACUGGGCGUAAAGCGUGCGCAGGCGGUUUUGUAAGACAGAGGUGAAAUCCCCGGGCUCAACCUGGGAACUGCCUUUGUGACUGCAAGGCUGGAGUGCGGCAGAGGGGGAUGGAAUUCCCCGUGUAGCAGUGAAAUGCGUAGAUAUGCGGAGGAACACCGAUGGCGAAGGCAAUCCCCUGGGCCUGCACUGACGCUCAUGCACGAAAGCGUGGGGAGCAAACAGGAUUAGAUACCCUGGUAGUCCACGCCCUAAACGAUGUCAACUGGUUGUUGGGAAUUCAUUUUCUCAGUAACGAAGCUAACGCGUGAAGUUGACCGCCUGGGGAGUACGGCCGCAAGGUUAAAACUCAAAGGAAUUGACGGG